GUGCUCGCUUCGGCGGCACAUAUACUAUAAUUGGAAUGAUACAGAGACUAGCAUGGCCCCUGCGCUAGAAUGACACGCAAGUUCAUGAAGCGUUCCGUAGUAAA
ensembl:snRNA U6 U6 spliceosomal RNA